GUUUCACUGAAUUCUACUGUGAAAGGGUUCUUGCAGACUGAUCACCAUGUGAGCCCUUCCACGGUGAGUCAGCCGUUAUUUCUCCCUCCCAGGGUCUCCGUCCAACGGUCCCUGUUAAAGCUGAUGAUGAGAAAUCUGACAUUAUCAUGGAGUUUGUCAGCAAAAGUCCAUUACCACUACUGGCAUAAAAUUCAAUACCUUAUUGAUAGGAACUGGCAUCAUGUGUUUAUAUUAAAAGGUAACAUCAUGUAUUUAUAUUAAAAGGUAAAACUAUUAUAUAUAUAUAUAAUAAC
rnacentral:lncRNA from 13 species